rnacentral:rRNA from 1 species
GACGAACGCUGGCGGCGUGCUUAACACAUGCAAGUCGAACGGAAAGGCCCUGCUUUUGUGGGGUGCUCGAGUGGCGAACGGGUGAGUAACACGUGAGUAACCUGCCCUUGACUUUGGGAUAACUUCAGGAAACUGGGGCUAAUACCGGAUAGGAGCUCCUGCUGCAUGGUGGGGGUUGGAAAGUUUCGGCGGUUGGGGAUGGACGCGCGGCUUAUCAGCUUGUUGGUGGGGUAGUGGCUUACCAAGGCUUUGACGGGUAGCCGGCCUGAGAGGGUGACCGGCCACAUUGGGACUGAGAUACGGCCCAGACUCCUACGGGAGGCAGCAGUGGGGAAUAUUGCACAAUGGGCGGAAGCCUGAUGCAGCAACGCCGCGUGCGUGAUGACGGCCUUCGGGUUGUAAACCGCUUUCGCCUGUGACGAAGCGUGAGUGACGGUAAUGGGUAAAGAAGCACCGGCUAACUACGUG